rnacentral:rRNA from 1 species
UACGAAGGGGGCUAGCGUUGCUCGGAAUCACUGGGCGUAAAGCGCACGUAGGCGGGUCUUUAAGUCGGAGGUGAAAUCCUGGAGCUCAACUCCAGAACUGCCUUCGAUACUGAGGAUCUCGAGUCCGGGAGAGGUGAGUGGAACUGCGAGUGUAGAGGUGAAAUUCGUAGAUAUUCGCAAGAACACCAGUGGCGGAGGCGGCUCACUGGCCCGGUACUGACGCUGAGGUGCGAAAGCGUGGGGAGCAAACAGG